rnacentral:lncRNA from 1 species
GUCCCUUUGUUCAGUCAUUCUUCAGUCAUGACUUACUCUUUGUGACCCCAUGUGGGCAUUUCUUAGCAAAGAUGAUGAAAUGGUUUGCCAUUUUCUUCUCCAGAUCAUUUUACAGAUGAGGAAACUGAGACAAACAAGGCUGAAUGUCUUAUCCAGGGUCAUAUAGCUAAAAUACUCCACUGGAGUGGAUUUUUCUUUCCUCACCCGGGUGGUCUUCUUGGACUCCUUCAUGUCUCUUUCAUGCACCACUUUUCAGGAGAUGCUUCCUACUCAAUUUCAGGGCCAGAAUAUUCACCAAACAAAAUAUGCACUGUGUGGAAGUAUUAUCUUGGGAGUGGCUCGUUGUAUAGCUAGAAAACACAUUGGAUGGAGGCUCAAGAACAAGAAUGCUGAGUAA